UGUUCCCUCCAUAAUUUAAGUACGUUCUGAACACCGGUAACUAGGUCGCCAUUGUUGUUCUUACCGGAGUACGCCCUCGGACCUAUAACACAAGCGCUACAAGUCCUACAAGUUUUCAAAUAAAUUAAACAAGUGUAGAUAUUUUGUAACACAAAGCAACUUGUAGUUACAAGUGCCGUACUUGUAAUUACUGAACUUUUUGUACAAUUGUAGUCUAUUUCCGUAACAUAACGAACACGCUUGUACAGUUGUGUUACGGAUUUUCUACAAUUGUAAACAAUUUUCUACCUAUCUCGAACGCUGAGUCGAUAUGUGGUGAAGUGAUUCCGAAAGUAAAAAUGAAAAUGUUUCUACAGAGUAUCGGUAUCGAGAGAGAAUGAAUACUUUCUUCCUGAGAGACGCAGAAUUUGUGGAAAGGUUCAGACUGAACCGAGAACAAGUGUAAAACUGUGCCUGAAGAUAUAGGCGCAGUAAUCGUGAAUAAAACAAUUCGAUGCUGCGGUUUCUUAGAAUUUCCUUAUUUAUAAUAGGGACACGAAUUUCGAUACGAUAUUAUAUCGAUAUUUUUUCCAUUCGAUACCGAUACUUUUUAAUCAAUAGUUAUCAAACGAUAUUAUUUGGAGUUGAGUACCAGAACCAUUGUAUCGUAUCGAAUCGCAAAGACGUGUCUGACGUCACGUUACAGGACAUUACGCUACUAAAAUCUCCAUUGAAAAUUUUUGUUAAUAUUGUUUCUAAAUUAAUUUUUAACGCAAAUAUAAUAAUUUUAUUUUGAUUUAAGCACACCCUAGCGGUUCAAUUUAUUGCAAAUCUAUGUCGUACUAUAACUUACCGCAGGAACAUCCCAUAUAUCUACAGUUUGGAAUUGAUAUGUAAAGCAAUAUGGUUAUAUUUUUGGCUUUACAGAGCCCAAUAUUCAGAUUUAUUUUUUUGAUCCCGAUAAUAAUGGGUACCCGAUAUUUUUACAGCGAUAUAUAAUAAUAUUUUACUAUAUCGGUACCUUUGGUUCGAUAUCGAGUACCUACUUGUUAAUCGAUUAGUCGAAAGUUAUUUCAAAAAAUAGUCGACUUAACUUAAUCGACUAACCGUUUCUUUUCGACUUUUUCAACUAACCGCUCACAAACACCUAGUCGAAAAUCCGCUGAUUUUCGAUUUAUCGACUAGCAGUUUUCUUUGAGUAAAACUUUUUUUUUUUGUAUACUUAUGCUUAUUGACAAACCCCAACCGCGCUAA